UCGAGAAUUUUUCACAAUGGGCGAAAGCCUGAUGGAGCGACGCCGCGUGGGGGAUGAAUGGCUUCGGCCCGUAAACCCCUGUCAUUCGGGAUCAAAUCUGGCAACCUAAUACGUUGUCAGUUGAUAGUACUGAAAGAGGAAGGGACGGCUAACUCUGUGCCAGCAGCCGCGGUAAUACAGAGGUCCCAAGCGUUGUUCGGAUUUACUGGGCGUAAAGGGAGCGUAGGUGGCAUUCUAAGUCUGAUGUGAA
rnacentral:rRNA from 1 species